AGUGAACGCUGGCGGUAGGCCUAACACAUGCAAGUCGAACGGCAGCACAGUAAGAGCUUGCUCUUACGGGUGGCGAGUGGCGGACGGGUGAGGAAUACAUCGGAAUCUACUUUUUCGUGGGGGAUAACGUAGGGAAACUUACGCUAAUACCGCAUACGACCUACGGGUGAAAGCAGGGGAUCUUCGGACCUUGCGCGAUUGAAUGAGCCGAUGUCGGAUUAGCUAGUUGGCGGGGUAAAGGCCCACCAAGGCGACGAUCCGUAGCUGGUCUGAGAGGAUGAUCAGCCACACUGGAACUGAGACACGGUCCAGACUCCUACGGGAGGCAGCAGUGGGGAAUAUUGGACAAUGGGCGAAAGCCUGAUCCAGCAAUACCGCGUGAGUGAAGAAGGUCUUCGGGUUGUAAAGCCCUGUUGUUGGGAAAGAAAAGAAGCAGGUUAAUCCCCCGCUGUUCUGACGGUACCCAAAGAAUAAGCACCGGCUAACUUCGUG
rnacentral:rRNA from 1 species